rnacentral:piRNA from 1 species
UGGCGUUUCUACGUUCUCUUUGGGGCAACUU